UUCGUUUGUAUACACACAAUAUGGUUGGCAUGGAAUUCAUCUCUUCCCAACAUCACUUCAACUAGAAGUUGGCGCCCCUCGUGUGCAGCCAUUUGUGUGCUUGUUUUUCCUCAAAGGGAAUACAUUCACAUUUCAUGUCAUGAUAAUUAGUGAUUCACAAAUACCAUAACAGAAAACCAAUGGACAUAAUUAGUUUUUCAGGUGAGUCUAUGUAUAGAGUUGUGACUGCCUGAGCACGAAGGCAUAGCGAAGCCCACAAAAGCUUCUGCCUAGGGAAAGUCCCACAACCCAUCAUAUUUAUCAACCAUGGUGAAUUGAAUGACUAAACAAUUGAUGUUCGUACUCUUAUAUUCUUAUUUAGUGCAACUAAACAUCACAAACCACAAGGUUAACUGGAAUAGUAUAAUCUAGCUCUUGGUAAAACAUAAAUGGUCAUUAGCUUGUGCUAAAGUUAGGUUGUCGAUUAGCAUCAAGAAGAAUAAAAGUAAGGUAGUUUAAUUUAUGAUGAAGUCAAAUACACACUAAAAAAAUAGGAAACAAAAUAUGCUUGGUUAUGCCGUUGAUUUCAUGAAACAAUGGUCAAGAAACUCCAUGCAAAGUUGACACAUUAGGUACCAUAUAUAACGGAGCAAAAUGUGCAUAAACAUGUCCUCGCAGCACCAUUGACUAAAUCAUUUCUCUUGGAUCCUAUCUUUAUUAAUCCAGGUUAUAUAACUUCCUAAGCACCUUAUGUGUAAUGAACCAUUCAGAAUAGACAUGCCUUUAAACAAGAAAAAAAGAGGAGAGUUAAUCGUUGUCUACUUAGACUAGUGUUUCAACUUUUCAUUUAGAGUGUGUACAACAAGAAUAAUUGGUUGCUACCAUUCCACUAUGAACCAUAUCUAUUCGUCAGAUGGUGCACUACAGGAAAACAUGGAAAUGUCUAAAUUAUGUGAGCUUUUAGAUAAUCCAAUUUCAUGUGAGGUUGCUUCCAUGUUGACUGCAUUUUUUCAAUUGCUUAAAGGAGAUAAUCCUUUCACUUUCUAGGUAAAGUCAAGCACAUAAAUUCUCACGUGAACACAUUUUCCCAAUUCUCUCUAGUAAUAAUCUCAGGUAACCUAUGCUUAGAGUAUAUACUUGCUCCAUGUUCAAACCUGACAAAAAAUAUAUUUAGGCAUGUCCAUGAAGAGACUAAGUUGUUUUUGUACAAUAAUAAGUGUGAAACAAUAGAUCUUAUAAUAGACAUUUGUUCAACUCUAAAUAAAACAAAUUCUUUUUGUACAAAAUCAUGAGCAACAUAACUUUCUAGGUCAUCGCUUACUGGUCAACAAAGCUGGUGUUUUUUUACUGUACCCAGUAGGGAAAAUCCCCACUGUAAUUUUUUAAAUAAAAAGGCCCCAAAUGGCAGGUCUUAGAGCAUCUCUAGCAGACCCCACAUAAGUGGUCAAACCCGCAAAACUUUUGCGUUUUACAGUUUCGGGCGAAAAAAGUGUCCAGAACAGAAACCGUAAAAAUGGUCCAACCCGUAAAUUUUUUUAAGGGCCACUGCAAAUGCACACCUGAAACCAUUAUCUUUGGAGGUUGGAAGGCCGAAUCUAGGGGGGCCCGUAUACCGGUCAAACCGCGUCGGAGCAAACACGCCGCCGCGGAGUUUGCCGGAAUCCGCCCUAAACUCGCUGGAAUUUAUCACCGCACAUCGGAAAAGGCCGAUAGACGUCGCAAUCGACCGCCGCCGGUUCCAAUUGGACGAGCUCGACAUCGUCGUGGCCUCCCAUGACCUCAGCCUGGCCACCGGAAUCCUCCCUACGCGGCAGGCCAAGGGGCACGGCUCGCCUAGCAAUAGAGUAAGGCGCGGACGACGGAGGCGACGGGGCGUGGCAGGCAAGGCUGGGCGCGACCGGCGUGGUGAUGGGGCGCGACCAGCAGGGAUGGGGCGCGACCAAUGGGCCAUCGGGCGCAGCCGACGGGCGACGGGGCAUGGCCUGCGGGCGACGGGGCGCGGCCGGCUGGACGAAGGGGAGGCAACCGCCGGACUGGAGGAAGGAGCUCUUUAUUCCAGUUUUAUAGAUUGUUUUACAGUAUCUGUUCGGCCGUGCUAGUUUUCGACCCGCAAACGCGAUCUUCGUGAAACUGCAAACGCGUUUUGCGGGUCAAGUUUUUGCCGGGUCUGCUAGAGUUUCUCUUACAGGAUUGAGGUAAGCCAACAGAACAAAAAAAGGACCUGAAAGAAAAAUAAAAUAAAAGAUAGCUAAAAGGCUAAACAAAGAGAAAGAUAAAAACAUCAGAAAAUAAAAAAGCAAGAAAAUUACAACACAUAGUCCAGCCAUGAUUGAUACAGGGUGGGGUACUUUUUUUUCUUCGUUCUGAAUUUCAACNNNNNNNNNNNNNNNNNNNNNNNNNNNNNNNNNNNNNNNNNNNNNNNNNNNNNNNNNNNNNNNNNNNNNNNNNNNNNNNNNNNNNNNNNNNNNNNNNNNNNNNNNNNNNNNNNNNNNNNNNNNNNNNNNNNNNNNNNNNNNNNNNNNNNNNNNNNNNNNNNNNNNNNNNNNNNNNNNNNNNNNNNNNNNNNNNNNNNNNNNNNNNNNNNNNNNNNNNNNNNNNNNNNNNNNNNNNNNNNNNNNNNNNNNNNNNNNNNNNNNNNNNNNNNNNNNNNNNNNNNNNNNNNNNNNNNNNNNNNNNNNNNNNNNNNNNNNNNNNNNNNNNNNNNNNNNNNNNNNAGAUGGCCCAAGAAGCCGGAAUGAUGAUGUCCAUAGCAAAAGGCAAUGCCAGACUCUGCUUCAUAUCUUCAAUGGUCUGUAAAACUGACAGAGCUACAUUUCUGUUGGGGCAAACAAAGUUCCAACAAAAAGCAGCAAAAGGGCAUCCCCAGAAUAGGUGAAAUAAUGUUUCUUCCUGUUGACAGUCCAUCACAACACAGUUGUAUGUGUCUAAAUGAAAUGUUUUCCUUCUGAGUAGGUUUCUUAUGUUUACUUUAUCAUGGAGUACCAUCCAGAAAAAAACUUUGUGCUUGAGUUGACAUGAUGUGUUCCAAACCCAUUGAAAGUGAGGUGGUACAAUUUUAACUCCAAUCAUGCAGUUAUAUGCUUUUGAUGAAGAGAAAUUAGCAGACCCCAUAAAUAGCCCCAGGUAUCAUUACAAUCCCUGUAUUCAGAUGAUCUAACCUCCUCACAAAUGAUAUCAAGUUGCUGGAAUUCCUCAUAAGCUUUUGUAGACAGGGGUAGGUGAAACAGGUCUUCCAAAUAUUCCAAAAGUUGAUAGCUUCCUGAAUUGAUAAUAGAGUAUUCUUUGUAAAAUAGAAUAAGUGAGACAUGCCUUGAAAUAGACAUGUAGAGUGCCAUUGAUCAUUCCAAAAUAGAGCAGAUUUCCCAAUACCAAUAUUGCAUAUGGCCAUGGAUUUGAAUAAGUCAAGCAGUUUCAAAUUUGCCUUCCACCAGAAAGAGCCAACCAUGUUCUGCCCAGGCAACAAGCCAUUACUGUAAUAAGUUUCGCAAAUCAAAUUUACCCAUGGAAUGUUGUGUUUGUUAAAGAAUUUGUACAAGUUUUUCAGCAAAAGAGCUAGUGUUUUUUUAGAUAAUUAUAUAAAUAAUAGAAGUUUCGAAGCGGUACACAAUUGUAGUAUGAAGACAACAUUAGGAUAGAGAUAUACACUAAAAAUUUAGACGAGGAGAAAGGAAAUUAACAACCUCUCAGAGAGCGAAACAACAUGUUGAUUAUCAUCACCUUGUAGUGCAUUUGCCAAUAGUCACCUCUCUGCAUCAAUAAUAGAAAUUGUACCUUCGUCCACCUACCAGAAAAAUGAGCUAUUUGUUUUUAAGUUAAUUGAUAUGUUAAUUUCUGCAAUAGCUUGGAUCAACAAGCAAUUUUACAGGGCAUGAUAGUGCUUAUUUAAAAAAUGCUCAAACUGCAACAUUCCAUGAACGUUAGUAUCAGUUCAUUAUACCAGUGUUAAUCUCAAUCUGGUCCUUUUAGGUGCCAAGGAAUCUAGACCGGUCCAUGAAAGUUAGGUAGUUAUGUGACUUGGCCGACGCCGGUUGGGCUCGAUGGAGUUUACAAUUCAUCACGUAUGGUUUCUAGGUGAGCAUGAUCCUCCUAUAGGCCGAUAUGUGACUGGUCCAGGGCUAGGUGCUGAGCCUCGAGGGCCUUUGCGUCGGAUCGUCGCCAGUGAUUGGCGUGUGCAACUGUCGGUUCAUUAAUCUCGAUGGGGUAUAGCGUGUACCCAGAACACCAGAUGGGAUUCACAUGAGGCUUUUUACCCAGGUCCAUGCCCUUACAGUGGACAUAAAACUCAAGAGAGAGUCCAUAUUACAACCUUGAACUACCACUAAUGUUUAAAACAAAAUCGUGAACUACAAAAAACCAUCUAGUUUAAAAGCCAGAACUUUCAAAACCGGACAAAAAACAACCCCCGGCUUGUUUUUGACAGUUUUUACUUGUUUUGACUAGUCAACAUCCAAGUCAGCGUCCAGUCAUCCACCACAUCAUCAUGUCCCACAUCACCAAGCCAUAGCCACCACCGUCUCCUCCAGUCGUGCCAAUGUUGGGGAACACAGUAAUUUCAAAAAAAUUCCUACGCACACGCAAUAUCUAUCAUGGUGAUGCAUAGCAUUGAAAGGAGAGAGUGUUGUCUACGUACCCUCGUAGACCAAAAGCGGAAGCGUUAUGACAACGCGGUUGAUGUAGUCGUACGUCUUCACGAUCCUAGUACCGAAAGUAUGGCACCUCCGCGAUCUGACGUUCAGCUCAGUGAUGUCCCACGAACUCUCGAUCCAGCUGAGUGUCGAGGGAGAGCUUCGUUAGCACGACGGUGUGAUGACGGUGAUGAUGAAGCUACCGGCGCAGGGCUUCGCCUAAGCACUACGACGAUAUGACCGAGGUGGAUUAUGGUGGAGGGGGGCACCGCAGACGGCUAAGACAAUGUCUGUUGUUGUGUUCUACGGUGCCCCUACCUCCGUAUAUAAAGGAGCAAGGGAGGAGGCCGGCGGGCCCUAGGGCGCGCCAAGGAGGGGAGGAAUCCUUCUCCUAGUAGGAGUAGGAUUCCUCCUUUCCUAGUCCAACUAGGAGGAGAAGGGGAAAGAGGGAAAGGAGAGGAAGAGGAGAAGGAAAGGGGGGGGGCGCCCCCUCCCUAGUCCAAUUCGGACUCCCUAUAGGGAGGGGGAGCGGCUGCCCCUUGUGGGCUGCCUCCCCUCUUCCCUAUGGCCCAUGUANNNNNNNNNNNNNNNNNNNNNNNNNNNNNNNNNNNNNNNNNNNNNNNNNNNNNNNNNNNNNNNNNNNNNNNNNNNNNNNNNNNNNNNNNNNNNNNNNNNNNNNNNNNNNNNNNNNNNNNNNNNNNNNNNNNNNNNNNNNNNNNNNNNNNNNNNNNNNNNNNNNNNNNNNNNNNNNNNNNNNNNNNNNNNNNNNNNNNNNNNNNNGGCACUCCGGUUUUCUCCGAAAUCACCCGGAACACUUCCGGUGUCCAAAUAUAGCCGUCCAAUAUAUCAAUCUUUAUGUCUCGACCAUUUCGAGACUCCUCGUCAUGUCCGUGAUCAUACCCGGGACUCCGAAUUACCUUCGGUACAUCAAAACACAUAAACUCAUAAUACCGAUCGUCACAGAACGUUAAGCAUGCGGACCCUAUGGGUUCGAGAACUAUGUAGACAUCACCGAGACUCAUCUCCGAUCAAUAACCAAUACCGGAACCUGGAUGCUCAUAUCGGUUCCUACAUAUUCUACGAAGAUCUUUAUCGGUCAAACUGCAUAACAACAUACGUUGUUCCCUUUCUCAUCGGUAUGUUACUUGCCCGAGAUUCGAUCGUCGGUAUCUCAAUACCUAGUUCAAUCUCGUUACCGGCAAGUCUCUUUACUCGUUUCGUAAUGCAUCAUCCCCAACUAACUCAUUAGUCACAUUGCUUCCAAGGCUUAUAGUGAUGUGCAUUACCAGAGGGCCUAGAGAUACCUGUCCGACAAUCGAAGUGACAAAUCGUAAUCUCGAUCUAUGCCAACUCAACAAACAUCAUCGGAGACACCUGUAGAGCACCUUUAUAAUCACCCAGUUAUGUUAUGAUGUUUGGUAGCAUACUAAGUGUUCCUCCGCUAUUCGGGAGUUGCAUAAUGUCAUAGUCAUAGGAACAUGUAUAAGUCAUGAAGAAAGCAAUAGCAACAUACUAAACGAUCAAGUGCUAAGCUAACGGAAUGGGUUAAGUCAAUCACAUCAUUCUCUAAUGAUGUGAUCCCGUUAAUCAAAUGACAACUCAUGUCUAUGGCUAGGAAACUUAACCAUCUUUGAUUCAACGAGCUAGUCAAUUAGAGGCAUACUAGUGACACUCUGUUUGUCUAUGUAUUCACACAUGUACUAAGUUUCCGGUUAAUACAAUUCUAACAUGAAUAAUAAACAUUUAUCAUGAUAUAAGGAAAUAUAAAUAACAACUUUAUUAUUGCCUCUAGGGCAUAUUUCCUUCAGCCAAUCCCACCGUCGCCGCCACCUUUGUUCCUAAUGAGCGGAGACCAGCGGCGUUGACACGAGCCUGUACAGCAGCGACCCCAACCGUCUGUAUUAGCUCCUUCCAAGCCGUACCCAAUCCCCCAGGGGCAAACCGCUGCUGCCACUGAGGAAGAGGGGCAGGAGGUCGUGGAUCUCAUCAUGAGAUUGUAUGCGUGCUCGGACGUGACAAGGGAUAAUCGGAGUGAUGCCCUCGUCGGUGAAGGUGGCCGAUGGAGCACGGUGUCGAUGCGAGGGUAGCUCAAGAUCGUGCCAGUCAAGGAUGAAGACGCAAACGUCUUCCGAGGCAUUGAUGACCUGCAAGGGAACAAGGCUAUUGCAUUUCAUGAUAAGUAAGUGUCGAAUCCCACAAGGGAGCGAAUAGGAAGACACUACCAACCCGGCAACUAUGCUGUAUGCGUAACCGUAGUGUGGAAAUAGUCUAUUCUAUAGGUUGCUAGGAAAGCGAGAAUAAAAGGGGUUGUACUAAACUACAAGUUAGAACGCAGAAAUAAACUAAGUUGGAACUUAAAGUAAAGAAGGGGGUUUUGUAACUGUAGGAUUGAAUAGAAAGAAAGACAGUGUUUAGGCUUUGGUCUCACGAGUACUAGAGGGGCAUCUUAGUGGCAGUGGGCUAAUACAAGUACACGUGUAGGGGAUAACAAGAUCACAAUAAAGAACGUCUCCCAACAUUACGUGCAACGUGAGUAAAUACUAGAUCAUGCCACAAAGACUAAUUUUGCAUACUAGAUCGUACCUCAACCUAGAACCGGAUCAAUCACUCAAACAUAGAUGAAUAGACACACAAAGAGGAAUGACUCAUUGAUGUCAUCAACAUGUUCAAUCUUGCAAAUUACAGGUGUGAAGAUGGAGACAGAGAGGGAGAUGUCUCUGGCUCGCACGGCCUAGCUAGGAACGGCGCCCGAUGACGACGACGUGGCCUCCUCCUUGCGUGGCAUGGUGGAGCUAUGGAGGGAGAGGCCUCCCCCAAGGGGGAGAGCCUCCCAGCGGCUGCCCGAAGUUGUGGUGAUGAUGAUGGCUGAUUGUGGUGGCUAGGGUUGGAUGUGUCUAUAUAAGAGGCCUACUCGGGUCUGCUCCAUUGAUAAAGAUCAUCCUCCUCCAUCCAAGGGCUCUAGGUGAGCCUUAACGCAUCGUGAGAGUACUCCAGGCGGAAUCAUUUCUUCCAGGCUAUAAAAAAGACACGGGAGGGCAAUAAGAGGUUGACGUCACACCAUACUUUUAGCACACAACACACACGAGCUUGUGGGCUAGGAUAAAAUGAUUCAGAGUUAGUCUAAGUGAAAGGAAAUAAAUGGUUUGGUGCCGGUCCAAGUGGAAUGAAGAGAAAAAUAAAUAUAUUUUUUGUACGGUAGUGUGUGUGAGAGGAAAAAGUUUGCACCCUUCCGAGUCGACCGUAACUCACACGUGUUUAUGAGCACAACACACGCGAGCUUGUGCGCUAGGAAAAUAAAUAUUCAGAGUUAGUCGGAGUGAAAGGAAAUAAAUGGUUUGAUGCCGGUCCGAGUGGAAUGAAAAGAAAAAAUAAUUUCUAUUUUAUACGUCAGUCAGUGCGAAAGGAAAAAGGUUGCAUCCUUCCGAGUUGACCCUAACUCACACGAGUUUAUGAGCACAACACACACACACACACGAGCUUGUGGGCUAGGGAAAAAUGAUUCAGAGUUAGUCUGAGUAAAAGGAAAUAAAUGGUUUGAUGCCGGUCCGAGUGGCAUGAAGAAAAAAAAUAUGUUAGUCCGUGUGAAAGGGAAAAGUUUGCAUCCUUCCGAGUCGACCCUAACUCACACGAGUUUAUGAGCACAGCGCACACGAGUUUGUGGGCUAGGAAAAAUAAUAAUUCAUAGGUAGUCCGAGUGAAAGAAAAUAAAUGGUUUCGUGCUGGUCCGAGUGGAAUGAAGAGAAAAAUAUUUUUUUUACGGUAGUCUGUGUGAGAGGAAAAGUUUGCACCUUUCUGAGUUGACCCUAACUCACACGUGUUUAUGAGCACAGCACACACGAGCUUGUGGGCUAGGAAAAUAAAGAUUCAGAGUUAGACGGAGUGAAAGGAAAUAAAUUGUUUGAUGCCAGUCCUAGUGGAAUGAAGAGAAAAAGAUAUCUUUUUUUACGUUAGUCUGUACGAAAGGAAAAAAGUUUGCACCCUUCUGAGUCGACGAUAAAUCACAUGAGUUUAUGAGAACAACACACACGAGCUUGUGGGCUAGGGAAAAAUGAUUCAGAGGUAGUCCGAGUAAAAGGAAAUAAAUGGAUUGAUGCCGGUCCGAGUGGAAUGAAGAGGAAAAAAAUUACGUUAGUGUGUGUGCAAGGAAAAAGUUUGCAUCCUUCCGAAUCGACCCUAAAUCACACGAGUUUAUGAGCAAGGCAUUGACCCAAGUAAAAUGAGAAUACUUAUCAAAAAGAAAAGGUAGAAUGACAAUAAAAACAACAUGAUGAUGGAAAAAAGACUGACGUCACUCCAUACUUCUAGCCCCAGACAUGCAGGAGUUAACGCUGCAACCUAAGGUAACAGGCUGCUGGGCCAAGCCCGGCGAGAAGUACGUGGUGACUGCUUUUGUUGCCUCGGCAGACCUAAUGGACUGGUGAACAAGUUCUAGCCGGGCGAUGUGGUACUAAAGAAAACGAAACAGACGAGGGGCCGUAAAGAAAGUCACGCGAGGCUGGGUUCUCGGUUGAAGUUUUCCGGCCCAACAGCACAUUGUAGCGUCUGCCAUCUCAUCAAAAAAUAAAACGUUUGUCUCAAAAAAUCAAAAAAUAAAACGUGCACGUAGCGGCAUCCUGCACGUGGCUGGUGAUCGUGUUGAGCGGGAAGCCAGAGCAGGCGCACCCCGACGAUUCAGCAAGUUCGAGGAGGAUCUGCUUUUUUGGAGACCUUGUCGGCCUCGUCAACGUAUGCAUGUACGAUGCCGGGGAGCUCACCGAGGUGUUGGACGAGUGCUCGCCGGAGCCUAUGCAUGCAUGUAAGUGACUAUAUAAUAACGCAUGCAUGAAUUCUGGUUUAGUACUCCCUCUGUUUCUAAAUAUAAGCCAUUUUAGAGGUUCCAGCAUGGACUACAUUAAAAUGAGUAAAUCUACUUUCUAAAAUACGUCUAUAUACAUCCAUAUGUUUUCUGUAUUAAAAGUAGUGAGCACUAUGUGUUUUAUGUUCACGAAACAGUUUUGCCAAGUCUUAGUCGACCGAGACUACUGAGACUUUGUUAUGUCUCAGUCGAUUCUAUAUUCCUUUGAUUUUGCAUGGGAUUCAUACAAUUUUUUUUUCUUUUCAGCCUUUUCUAUUUUCUUCUUGUACUAUCUCACUUGACUGAGACUUGGUUAAGUCUCAGUCGAGUGAGACCUAGACACACCCUUUGCGAAAACGUCUAAACUCAUACAUAUAUCAGCUUUCACAGGUCCUUACAAACACACCCUUACAAAAAAUAGAUAUGUAUUCAGAAUAUUUGGGGUGCCGAAAUAUUCUACCACCCGCAUCCAUCGGCGGUGCGCCGUGAGCAUAGCUCGAUGCCGCCUCUAGGCCUCCCCCACAGCAGAGCAAGUUUUUGAAACCUAGGAGUUUGUACAAGCAACGGCUGAAAGUCAUCGAUGCAGAACACAGACACCGGUGGCCCCGAUCCAUGAAACAAAUCGUCGCCCCAGAGGGAAAAACACCCAAUAAGGGCAUGUAGAAACUCCAAAGACCACAUAGACCAAACAAGCCGGUUAAAUACAGAUGGAUCCACGAAAAAGCAAACCGACCGGGUCCCAGGAGACCCGCCGAAGAGAUAGCUCCACACGCCCUUCGCUGACGAAACACACACCAAUGAAAUGGUGAUGAGGCGGAGAGAACAUUAUUCCUAUCUUGGGGCGACACCGUUGUUCUGUCGCCCCAAACCAAACAGAAAGGCCGCCAAAAGAGACCCGAAAAUAUGACCCACACCGUUGUACGACAGGUCCAGUACGAAGACGGACCGGCAAUGGAGACCACGCGGACGAGCGGCCGGCAGCGACACACGAAGGCGUCCCUUGGGCGACGCGUCCAGCCUUUGCCAUGCGGUUGAUGAUGAAGUGGCCGGUGUAGUCGAUGCUGAUGUCGGAGUACAGGCGCGGGGGUCGACGGCGGCGACGGGCAUGCAAACCGAUCUUUGAUAGGAAAACCAAAAAGAAAACACCGAUCAAGACGACCGGCAGGAAAGAGAAAACCCCGGAGGAAGGGCUCGGGAAAAGAGUCUCUAGGGCAGCCGGCCAACACGACUGAUGGACGAACUCUUGGUACGGGCGGGGCGGCCCCCGGCAGCGGUCAUGGAGGCCGACCGCCCCGGAGGCGGCCCGCGGGGCGAAAGCGGUGGGCAGCGGCUAGGGUUAGAUCGGUUAGGCUGAUACCAUGUUAGAAAGGAAUAGAGAAGGAUUUGUGGAAAAAUAUUUGGUGCAAGACAAUUGUGUUCACCUCAUGGGUGCCAAUAUAUAUCACGUACAGUGUUAGUUCCGUCCACAGCUAGAGUACAGACUGGGGCUACAAGUGGGACAACUAUACUGAAUACAUGUACGUAUACACAUGGAAUAAAGACAAUCAUCUGUCANNNNNNNNNNNNNNNNNNNNNNNNNNNNNNNNNNNNNNNNNNNNNNNNNNNNNNNNNNNNNNNNNNNNNNNNNNNNNNNNNNNNNNNNNNNNNNNNNNNNNNNNNNNNNNNNNNNNNNNNNNNNNNNNNNNNNNNNNNNNNNNNNNNNNNNNNNNNNNNNNNNNNNNNNNNNNNNNNNNNNNNNNNNNNNNNNNNNNNNNNNNNNNNNNNNNNNNNNNNNNNNNNNNNNNNNNNNNNNNNNNNNNNNNNNNNNNNNNNNNNNNNNNNCAGUUAAAGCGUCGUGCGUGGUGAUGCAAAGACUGGACCAGAACUCCUCAAAGGUGGACGCCGGCAAGCCUUUCGUCAUGAUGUCGGAGAAUUGCUACGUCGUGGGAACCUGAAGAACUCGAACCUUCCCAAGAGCAACUUGUUCGCGAACAAAAUGAAUAUCCAACUCAAUAUGCUUGGUGCGACGAUGAUGAACCGGGUUGGCGGAUAGGUAGACCACAGAGAAGUUGUCGCGGUAGACCACGGUGGCUUUGUGAGCAGGAUGACAAAGUUCAUGAAGAAGCUGUUGAAGCCACGUACACACAGCAACGGCGUUGUCCAUGCCAUGAUACUUGGCCUCAGCACUGGAUCGCAAGACUGUGGGCUGGCGAUUAGACGACCACGAGAUGAGUGAUGGUCCAAGGAACACACAGUACCCGGAGGUAGAGCGACGAGUGUCCGGACAACCAGCCCAGUCAGCAUUCGAGUAGGCGACGAUGUUGGUGGAGGGUGAAGCCUGCAAGGUGAUGCCGAGGUCCAUGUGACCAGGGAUGUACCGGAGAAUCCGCUGCACCAGAGACCAAUGAACAUCGCGAGGAGCAUGAUUGUGGAGACACACCUGCCGAACAACAUACUGCAACUCGGGUCGAGUGAGUGUCAAGUACUGCAAGGCACCAUAAAUGGACCGGUAGAAAGAAGCAUCCGGGGUGGGAGCACCAUCAGUGGUGGAGAGGUUGGCCUUCGUGUCGACAGUCAUAGCCGCGAGCUUGCAAUUAAGCAUGCUAGCGUGGUCAAGUAACUCAUGAGCAUACUUUUGUUUAUGAAGGAAGAAGCCGUCCGCGCGUCUUACUACCUCGAUGCCGAGGAAGUAGUGGAGGGGUCCCAAGUCCUUGAUGGCGAACUCGACGCGAAGGCGCUCAGUGAGCCAUCGAAGGUGGUCGGUGGUGCUGUUGGGGAACGUAGCAUGCAAUUUCAAAAAAAUUCCUACGAUCACGCAAGAUCUAUCUAGGAGAUGCAUAGCAACGAGAGGGGGAGAUGUUGGAAAUAUGCCCUAGAGGCAAUAAUAAAAUGGUUAUUAUUGUAUUUCCUUGUUCAUGAUAAUUGUCUGUUGUUCAUGCUAUAAUUGUAUUAACUGGAAACCGUAAUACAUGUGUGAAUACAUAGACCACAACAUGUCCCUAGUAAGCCUCUAGUUGACUAGCUCGUUGAUCAAUAGAUGGUUAUGGUUUCCUGACCAUGGACAUUGGAUGUCAUUGAUAACGGGAUCACAUCAUUAGGAGAAUGAUGUGAUGGACAAGACCCAAUCCUAAGCAUAGCACAAGAUCGCGUAGUUCGUUUGCUAGAGCUUUUCUAAUGUCAAGUAUCAUUUCCUUAGACCAUGAGAUUGUGCAACUCCCGGAUACCGUAGGAAUGUUUUGGGUGUACCAAACGUCACAACGUAACUGGGUGGCUAUAAAGGUGCACUACGGGUAUCUCCGAAAGUGUCUGUUGGGUUGGCACGAAUCGAGACUGGGAUUUGUCACUCCGUAUGACGGAGAGGUAUCUCUGGGCCCACUCGGUAAUGCAUCAUCAUAAUGAGCUCAAUGUGACCAAGUGUUUGGUCACGGGAUCAUGCAUUACGGUACGAGUAAAGUGACUUGCCGGUAACGAGAUUGAACAAGGUAUUGGGAUACCGACGAUCGAAUCUCGGGCAAGUAACGUACCGAUUGACAAAGGGAAUUGUAUACGGGAUUGAUUGAAUCCUCGACAUCGUGGUUCAUCCGAUGAGAUCAUCGUGGAACAUGUGGGAGCCAACAUGGGUAUCCAGAUCCCGCUGUUGGUUAUUGACCGGAGAGUCAUCUCGGUCAUGUCUGCAUGUCUCCCGAACCCGUAGGGUCUACACACUUACGGUUUGGUGACGCUAGAGUUGUAGAGAUAUUAGUACGCGGUUAACCGAAAGUUGUUCGGAGUCCCGGAUGAGAUCCCGAACGUCACGAGGAGUUCCGGAAUGGUCCGGAGGUAAAGAUUUAUAUAUGGGAAGUCCUAUUUUGGCCACCGGAAAAUGUUCGGGAUUUUUCGGUAUUGUACCGGGAAGGUUCUAGAAGGUUCCGAAGUGGGGCCCACCUGCAUGGGGGGACCCACAUGAACGUGGGUAGUGGGGGCAAGGCCCCACACCCCUGGUCAAGGCGCACCAAGAUCCCACCUUAGAAGGAAUAAGAUCAUAUCCCGAAGGGAUAAGAUCAAGAUCCCUAAAAAAGGGGGAUAACAAUCGGUGGGGAAGGGAAAUGAUGGGAUUUCUUUUCCCCACCUUUGCCAACGCACCAAUGGACUUGGAGGGCAAGAAAGCAGCCCCCUCCACCCCUAUAUAUAGUGGGGAGGCGCAUGGGAGCAGCACCCCAAGCCCUGGCGCCUCCCUCCCUCCCGUGACACCUCUUCCUCCCCGCUUGCGCUUGGCGAAGCCCUGCCGGGAUCCCGCUACUUCCACCACCACGCCGUCGUGCUGCUGGAUCUCCAUCAACUUCUCCUCCCCCUUGCUCGAUCAAGAAGGAGGAGACGUCCCCGCUCCGUACGUGUGUUGAACGCGGAGGUGCCGUCCGUUCGGCGCUAGGAUCAUCGGUGAUUUGGAUCACGACGAGUACGACUCCAUCAACCCCGUUCUCUUGAACGCUUCCGCUCGCAAUCUACAAGGGUAUGUAGAUGCACUCCUCCCCUCUCGUUGCUAGAAUCUCCUAGAUUGAUCUUGGUGACACGUAGGAAAAUUUUGAAUUUCUGCUACGUUCCCCAACAGUGGUAUCAGAGCCAGGUGUAUGCGUAGAUUCUGUUGGGAAUCGUAGCAUAAUUUUAAAAUUUUCCUACGCUCACCAAGAUGCAUCUAUGGAGUCUACUAGCAACGAGGGGAAGGGAGUGCAUCUACAUACCGUUGUAGAUCGCGAGCGGAAGCGUUCCAAUGAACGUGGAUGACGGAGUCGUACUCGCCGUGAUCCAAAUCACCGAUGACCGAGUGCCGAACGUACGGCACCUCCGCGUUCAACACACGUACGGUGCAGCGACGUCUCCUCCUUUCUUGAUCCAGCAAGGGGGAAGGACAGGUUGAUGGAGAUCCAACAGCACGACGGCGUGGUGGUGGAUGUAGCGGCUCUUCGGCAGGGCUUCGCCGAGCUUCUGCGCGAGAGAGAGAGGUGUUGUAGGGGAGGAGGGAGGCGCCAAAGGCUGUAGGUUUGCUGCCCUCCCUCCCCACACUAUUUAUAGGACCCCUUGGGAGGGGGGGAGCCGGCCAAAACCCAUCUAGGGUUGGGGGGGGGGGCGGCGGCCAAGGGGGGAAGGGGUUGCCUUGCCCCCCAAGGCAAGGGGGAACUCCCCCCCUAGGGUUCCCAACCCUAGGCGCAUGGGGGGGAGGCCCAAGGAGGCGCCCCAGCCCACUAGGGGCUGGUUCCCUUCCACUUUCAGCCCACGGGGCCCUCCGGGACAGGUGGCCCCACCCGGUGGACCCCCGGGACCCUUCCGGUGGUCCCGGUACAAUACCGAUAAACCCCGAAACCUUCCCGGUGGCCAAAACUGGACUUCCUAUAUAUAAUUCUUCACCUCCGGACCAUUCCGGAACCUCUCGUGACGUCCGGGAUCUCAUCCGGGACUCCGAACAACUUUCGGGUUUCCGCAUACAUAUAUCUCUACAACCCUAGCGUCACCGGACCUUAAGUGUGUAGACCCUACGGGUUCGGGAGACAUGCAGACAUGAUCGAGACGCCUCUCCGGUCAAUAACCAACAGCGGGAUCUAGAUACCCAUGUUGGCUCCCACAUGUUCCACGAUGAUAUCAUCGGGUGAACCACGGUGUCGAGGAUUCAAUCAAUCCGUAUGCAAUUCCCUUUGUCAAUCGGUAUGUUACUUGCCCGAGAUUCGAUCGUCGGUAUCCCAAUACCUAGUUCAAUCUCGUUACCGGCAAGUCUCUUUACUCGUACCGCAAUGCAUGAUCCCGUGACUAACGCCUUAGUCACAUUGAGCUCAUUAUGAUGAUGCAUUACCGAGUGGGCCCAAAGAUACCUCUCCGUUUACACGGAGUGACAAAUCCCAGUCUCGAUCCGUGCCAACCCAACAGACACUUUCGGAGAUACCCGUAAUGCACCUUUAUAGUCACCCAGUUACGUUGUGACGUUUGGCACACCCAAAGCACUCCUACGGUAUCCGGGAGUUGCACGAUCUCAUGGUCUAAGGAAAAGAUACUUGACAUUGGAAAAGCUCUAGCAAACGAAACUACACGAUCUUUUAUGCUAUGCUUAAGUUGGGUCUUGUCCAUCACAUCAUUCUCCUAAUGAUGUGAUCCCGUUAUCAAUGACAUCCUAUGUCCAUAGUCAGGAAACCAUGACUAUCUGUUGAUCAACGAGCUAGUCAACUAGAGGCUUACUAGGGACAGGUUGUGGUCUAUGUAUUCACACAUGUAUUACGAUUUCCGGACAAUACAAUUAUAGCAUGAAUAAUAGACUAUCAUCAUGAACACAGAAAUAUAAUAAUAACCAUUUAUUAUUGCCUCUAGGGCAUAUUUCCAACAGUCUCCCACUUGCACUAGAGUCAAUAAUCUAGUUACAUUGUGAUGAAUCGAACACCCAUUGCGUCCUGGUGUUGAUCAUGUUUUGCCCUAGGGAGAGGUUUAGUCAACGGAUCUGCUACAUUGAGGUCCGUGUGUACUUUACAAAUAUCUAUGUCUCCAUUUUGAACACUUUCACGAAUGGAGUUGAAGCGACGCUUGAUAUGCCUAGUCUUCCUGUGAAACCUGGGCUCCUUCGCAAGGGCAAUAGCUCCAGUGUUGUCACAGAAGAGAGUCAUUGGGCCCGACGCAUUGGGAAUCACCCCUAGGUCGGUAAUGAACUCCUUCAUCCAGACUGCUUCCUGUGCUGCCUCCGAGGCUGCCAUGUAUUCCGCUUCACAUGUAGAUCCCGCCACGACGCUUUGCUUGCAACUGCACCAGCUUACUGCUCCUCUAUUCAAAAUAUACACGUAUCCGGUCUGUGACUUCGAGUCAUCCGGAUCUGUGUCGAAGCUAGCGUCGACGUAACCCUUUACGACGAGCUCUUCGUCACCUCCAUAAACGAGAAACAUAUCCUUAGUCCUCUUCAGGUACUUCAGGAUAUUCUUGACCGUUGUCCAGUGUUCCUUGCCGGGAUUACUUUGGUACCUUCCUACCAAACUUACGGCAAGGUUUACAUCAGGUCUGGUACACAGCAUGGCAUACAUAAUAGACCCUAUGGCCGAGGCAUAGGGGAUGACACUCAUCUCUUCUAUAUCUUCUGCCGUGGUCGGGCAUUGAGCCGUGCUCAAUUGCACACCUUGCAAUACAGGCAAGAACCCCUUCUUGGACUGAUCCAUACUGAACUUCUUCAAUAUCUUGUCAAGGUAUGUACUCUGUGAAAGACCAAUGAGGCGUCUUGAUCUAUCUCUAUAGAUCUUGAUGCCUAAUAUGUAAGCAGCUUCUCCAAGGUCCUUCAUUGAAAAACACUUAUUCAAAUAGGCCUUUAUACUUUCCAAGAAUUCUAUAUCAUUUCCCAUCAAUAAUAUGUCAUCCACAUAUAAUAUGAGAAAUGCUACAGAGCUCCCACUCACUUUCUUGCAAACACAGGCUUCUCCAUAAGUCUGUGUAAACCCAAACGCUUUGAUCAUCUCAUCAAAGCGAAUGUUCCAACUCCGAGAUGCUUGCACCAGCCCAUAGAUUGAGCGCUGGAGCUUGCAUACUUUGUUAGCAUUCUUAGGAUCGACAAAACCUUCCGGCUGCAUCAUAUACAACUCUUCCUUAAGGAAGCCGUUAAGGAAUGCCGUUUUGACGUCCAUCUGCCAUAUCUCAUAAUCAUAGUAUGCGGCAAUUGCUAACAUGAUUCGGACGGACUUCAGCUUCGCUACGGGUGAGAAAGUCUCAUCGUAGUCAACCCCUUGAACUUGUCGAUAACCCUUAGCGACAAGUCGAGCUUUGUAGAUGGUCACAUUACCAUCUGCGUCCGUCUUCUUCUUAAAGAUCCAUUUGUUUUCUAUGGCUCGCCGCUCAUCGGGCAAGUCAGUCAAAGUCCAUACUUUGUUUUCAUACAUGGAUUCUAUCUCGGAUUUCAUGGCUUCUAGCCAUUUGUCGGAAUCCGGGCCCGCCAUCGCUUCUUCAUAGUUCGAAGGUUCACCGUUGUCUAACAAAAUGAUUUCCAGGACAGGGUUGCCGUACCACUCUGGUGCGGAACGUGUCCUUGUGGACCUACGAAGUUCAGUAACUUGAUCUGAAGCUUCAUGAUCAUCAUCAUUAACUUCCUCCCCAGUCGGUGUAGGCACCACAGGAACAUUUUCCCGCGCUGCGCUACUUUCUGGUUCGGAAGGGGUGACUAUCACCUCAUCAAGUUCCACUUUCCUCCCACUCAAUUCUUUCGAGAGAAACUCCUUCUCUAGAAAGGACCCGUUCUUGGCAACGAAGAUCUUGCCUUCGGAUCUGAGGUAGAAGGUAUACCCAAUAGUUUCCUUAGGGUAUCCUAUGAAGACGCAUUUUUCCGAUUUGGGUUCGAGCUUUUCAGGUUGAAGUUUCUUGACAUAAGCAUCGCAUCCCCAAACUUUUAGAAACGACAGCUUAGGUUUCUUCCCAAACCAUAAUUCAUACGGUGUCGUCUCAACGGAUUUAGACGGUGCCCUAUUUAAAGUGAAUGCGGCAGUCUCUAAAGCAUAACCCCAAAAUGAGAGCGGUAAGUCGGUAAGAGACAUCAUAGAUCGCACCAUAUCCAAUAGAGUGCGAUUACGACGUUCGGACACACCAUUUCUCUGAGGUGUUCCAGGCGGCGUGAGUUGUGAAACUACUCCACAUUUCCUUAAGUGUGUACCAAAUUCGUGACUUAAAUAUUCUUCACCACGAUCUGAUCGUAAGAAUUUUAUUUUCCUGUCACGUUGAUUCUCGACUUCACUCUGAAAUUCCUUGAACUUUUCAAAGGUUUCAGACUUGUGUUUCAUUAGGUAGACAUACCCAUAUCUACUUAAAUCAUCAGUGAGAGUGAGAACAUAACGAUAUCCUCCGCGAGCCUCAACACUCAUUGGACCGCACACAUCGGUAUGUAUGAUUUCCAAUAAGUUGGUUGCUCGCUCCAUUGUUCCGGAGAACGGAGUCUUGGUCAUCUUACCCAUGAGGCAUGGUUCGCACGUGUCAAAUGAUUCGUAAUCAAGAGACUCCAAAAGUCCAUCUGCAUGGAGCUUCUUCAUGCGCUUGACACCAAUGUGACCAAGGCGGCAGUGCCACAAGUAUGUGGGACUAUCGUUAUCAACUUUACAUCUUUUGGCAUUCACACUAUGAACAUGUGUAGCAUCACGUUCGAGAUUCAUCAAGAAUAAACCAUUGACCAGCGGGGCAUGACCAUAAAACAUAUCUCUCAAAUAAAUAGAACAACCAUUAUUCUCAGAUUUAAAUGAGUAGCCAUCUCGAAUUAAACGAGAUCCAGAUACAAUGUUCAUGCUCAAAGCUGGCACUAAAUAACAAUUAUUGAGGUUUAUAACUAAUCCCGUGGGUAGAUGCAGAGGUAGCGUGCCGACGGCGAUCACAUCGACCUUGGAACCAUUCCCGACGCGCAUCGUCACCUCAUCUUUUGCCAGUCUCCGUUUAUUCCGUAGUUCCUGAUUUGAGUUACAAAUAUGAGCAACCGCACCGGUAUCAAAUACCCAGGAGCUACUACGAGUACUGGUAAGGUACACAUCAAUUACUUGUAUAUCACAUAUACCUUGGGUGUUGCCGGCCUUCUUCUUGUCCGCUAAAUAUUUGGGGCAGUUCCGCUUCCAGUGACCACUUCCCUUGCAAUAAAAGCACUCAGUCUCGGGCUUGGGUCCAUUCUUUGACUUCUUCCCGGUAACUGGCUUACCGGGCGCGGCAACUCCCUUGCCGUCCUUCUUGAAGUUCUUCUUACCCUUGCCCUUCUUGAACUUAGUGGUUUUAUUCACCAUCAACACUUGAUGUUCUUUUCUGAUCUCUACCUCAGCUGAUUUCAGCAUUGAAUACACCUCGGGAAUGGUCUUUUCCAUCCCGUGCAUAUUGUAGUUCAUCACAAAGCUCUUGUAGCUUGGUGGAAGCGACUGGAGGAUUCUGUCAAUGACCGCGUCAUCCGGGAGAUUAACUCCCAGCUGAGACAAGCGGUUGUGCAACCCAGACAUUCUGAGUAUGUGCUCACUAACAGAACUGUUCUCCUCCAUUUUACAGCUGAAGAACUUGUCGGAGACAUCAUAUCUCUCGACCCGGGCAUGAGCUUGAAAAACCAGUUUCAGCUCCUCGAACAUCUCAUAUGCUCCAUGUUUCUCAAAACGCUUUUGGAGACCCGGUUCUAAGCUGUAAAGCAUGCCGCACUGAACGAGGGAGUAAUCAUCAGCACGCUGCUGCCAAGCGUUCAUAACGUCUUGGUUCUCAGGGAUUGGUGCUUCACCUAGCGGUGCUUCUAAGACAUAAUCUUUCUUGGCUGCUAUGAGGAUGAUCCUCAGGUUCCGGACCCAGUCCGUAUAGUUGCUGCCAUCAUCUUUCAGCUUGGUUUUCUCUAGGAACGCGUUGAAAUUGAGGACAACGUGGGCCAUUUGAUCUACAAUACAUAGUUUAAAGAUUUAGACUAAGUUCAUGAUAAUUAAGUUCAUAUAAUCAAAUUAUUUAAUGAACUCCCACUCAGAUAGACAUCCCUCUAGUCAUCUAAGUGAAACACGAUCCGAACUCAACUAGGCCGUGUCCGAUCAUCACGUGAGACGGACUAGUCAAGAUCGGUGAACAUCUCCAUGUUGAUCGUAUCUUCUAUACGACUCAUGCUCGACCUUUCGGUCCUCCGUGUUCCGAGGCCAUGUCUGUACAUGCUAGGCUCGUCAAGUCAACCUAAGUGUAUUGCGUGUGUUCCGAGGCCAUGUCUGUACAUGCUAGGCUCGUCAACACCCGUUGUAUUCGAACGUAAGAAUCUAUCACACCCGAUCAUCACGUGGUGCUUCGAAACGACGAACCUUCGCAACGGUGCACAGUUAGGGUGAACACUUUCUUGAAAUUAUUAUAAGGGAUCAUCCUAUUUGCUACCGUCGUUCUAAGCAAAUAAGAUGCAAAAACAUGAUAAACAUCACAUGCAAUCAAAUAGUGACAUGAUAUGGCCAAUAUCAUCAUGCUCCUUUGAUCUCCAUCUUUGGGGCACCAUGAUCAUCUUCGUCACCGGCAUGACACCAUGAUCUCCAUCAUCAUGAUCUCCAUCAUUGUGUCUUCAUGAAGUUGUCACGCCAACGAUUACUUCUACUUCUAUGGCUAACCGUUUAGCAACAAAGUAAAGUAAAUUACAUGGCGUUAUUCAAUGACACGCAGGUCAUGCAAAAUAAUAAAGACAACUCCUAUGGCUCCUGCCGGUUGUCAUACUCAUCGACAUGCAAGUCGUGAUUCCUAUUACAAGAAUAUGAUCAAUCUCAUACAUCACAUAUAUCAUUCAUCACAUCUUCUGGCCAUAUCAUAUCACAUAUAUCACUUGCUGCAAAAACAAGUUAGACGUCCUCUAAUUGUUGUUGCAAGUUUUUACGUGGUUUGUAGGUUUCUAGCAAGAACGUUUUCUUUCCUACGUAUGACCACAACGCGAUUUGCCAAUUUCUAUUUACCCUUCAAAAGGACCCUUUUCAUUGAAUCCGUUCCGACUAAAGUAGGAGAGACAGACACCCGCUAGCCACCUUAUGCAACUAGUGCAUGUCAGUCGGUGGAACCUGUCUCACGUAAGCGUACGUGUAAGGUCGGUCCGGGCCGCUUCAUCCUACAAUGCCGCCGAAACAAGAAACGACUAGUAGCGGCAAGAAGAAUUGGCAACAUCAACGCCCACAACUUCUUUGUGUUCUACUCGUGCAUAGUAACUACGCAUAGGCCUGGCUCAUGAUGCCACAGUUGGGAAUCGUAGCAUAAUUUUAAAAUUUUCCUACGCUCACCAAGAUGCAUCUAUGGAGUCUACUAGCAACGAGGGGAAGGGAGUGCAUCUACAUACCGUUGUAGAUCGCGAGCGGAAGCGUUCCAAUGAACGUGGAUGACGGAGUCGUACUCGCCGUGAUCCAAAUCACCGAUGACCGAGUGCCGAACGUACGGCACCUCCGCGUUCAACACACGUACGGUGCAGCGACGUCUCCUCCUUUCUUGAUCCAGCAAGGGGGAAGGAGAGGUUGAUGGAGAUCCAACAGCACGACGGCGUGGUGGUGGAUGUAGCGGCUCUUCGGCAGGGCUUCGCCGAGCUUCUGCGCGAGAGAGAGAGGUGUUGUAGGGGAGGAGGGAGGCGCCAAAGGCUGUGUGUUUGCUGCCCUCCCUCCCCCCCACUAUUUAUAGGACCCCUUGGGAGGGGGGAGCCGGCCAAAACCCAUCUAGGGUUGGGGGGGCGGCGGCCAAGGGGGGGAAGGGGUUGCCUUGCCCCCCAAGGCAAGGGGGAACUCCCCCCCUAGGGUUCCCAACCCUAGGCGCAUGGGGGGAGGCCCAAGGAGGCGCCCCAGCCCACUAGGGGCUGGUUCCCUUCCACUUUCAGCCCACGGGGCCCUCCGGGACAGGUGGCCCCACCCGGUGGACCCCCGGGACCCUUCCGGUGGUCCCGGUACAAUACCGAUAACCCCCGAAACUUUCCCGGUGACCAAAACUGGACUUCCUAUAUAUAAUUCUUCACCUCCGGACCAUUCCGGAACCUCUCGUGACGUCCGGGAUCUCAUCCGGGACUCCAAACAACUUUCGGGUUUCCGCAUACAUAUAUCUCUACAACCCUAGCGUCACCGGACCUUAAGUGUGUAGACCCUACGGGUUCGGGAGACAUGCAGACAUGACCGAGACGCCUCUCCGGUCAAUAACCAACAGCGGGAUCUGGAUACCCAUGUUGGCUCCCACAUGUUCCACGAUGAUAUCAUCGGGUGAACCACGGUGUCGAGGAUUCAAUCAAUCCGUAUGCAAUUCCCUUUGUCAAUCGGUAUGUUACUUGCCCGAGAUUCGAUCGUCGGUAUCCCAAUACCUAGUUCAAUCUCGUUACCGGCAAGUCUCUUUACUCGUACCGCAAUGCAUGAUCCCGUGACUAACGCCUUAGUCACAUUGAGCUCAUUAUGAUGAUGCAUUACCGAGUGGGCCCAGAGAUACCUCUCCGUUUACACGGAGUGACAAAUCCCAGUCUCGAUCCGUGCCAACCCAACAGAUACUUUCGGAGAUACCCGUAAUGCACCUUUAUAGUCACCCAGUUACGUUGUGACGUUUGGCACACCCAAAGCACUCCUACGGUAUCCGGGAGUUGCACGAUCUCAUGGUCUAAGGAAAAGAUACUUGACAUUGGAAAAGCUCUAGCAAACGAAACUACACGAUCUUUUAUGCUAUGCUUAAGUUGGGUCUUGUCCAUCACAUCAUUCUCCUAAUGAUGUGAUCCCGUUAUCAAUGACAUCCUAUGUCCAUAGUCAGGAAACCAUGACUAUCUGUUGAUCAACGAGCUAGUCAACUAGAGGCUUACUAGGGACAGGUUGUGGUCUAUGUAUUCACACAUGUAUUACGAUUUCCGGACAAUACAAUUAUAGCAUGAAUAAAAGACUAUUAUCAUGAACACAGAAAUAUAAUAAUAACCAUUUAUUAUUGCCUCUAGGGCAUAUUUCCAACAGAUCGUAUCUUCUAUACGACUCAUGCUCGACCUUUCGGUCCUCCGUGUUCCGAGGCCAUGUCUGUACAUUCUAGGCUCGUCAAGUCAACCUAAGUGUAUUGCGUGUGUUCCGAGGCCAUGUCUGUACAUGCUAGGCUCGUCAACACCCGUUGUAUUCGAACGUUAGAAUCUAUCACACCCGAUCAUCACGUGGUGCUUCGAAACAACGAACCUUCGCAACGGUGCACAGUUAGGGUGAACACUUUCUUGAAAUUAUUAUAAGGGAUCAUCUUACUUACUACCGUCGUUCUAAGCAAAUAAGAUGCAAAAACAUGAUAAACAUCACAUGCAAUCAAAUAGUGACAUGAUAUGGCCAAUAUCAUCAUGCUCCUUUGAUCUCCAUCUUCGGGGCACCAUGAUCAUCUUCGUCACCGGCAUGACACCAUGAUCUCCAUCAUCAUGAUCUCCAUCAUUGUGUCUUCAUGAAGUCGUCACGCCAACGAUUACUUCUACUUCUAUGGCUAACUCGUUUAGCAACAAAGUAAAGUAAUUUACAUGGCGUUAUUCAAUGACACGCAGGUCAUGCAAAAUAAUAAAGACAACUCCUAUGGCUCCUGCCGGUUGUCAUACUCAUCGACAUGCAAGUCGUGAUUCCUAUUACAAGAAUAUGAUCAAUCUCAUACAUCACAUAUAUCAUUCAUCACAUCUUCUGGCCAUAUCACAUCACAUAGCACUUGUUGCAAAAACAAGUUAGACGUCCUCUAAUUGUUGUUGCAAGUUUUUACGUGGUUUGUAGGUUUCUAGCAAGAACGUUUUCUUACCUACGUAUGACCACAACGUGAUUUGCCAAUUUCUAUUUACCCUUCAUAAGGACCCUUUUCAUCGAAUCCGUUCCGACUAAAGUAGGAGAGACAGACACCCGCUAGCCACCUUAUGCAACUAGUGCAUGUCAGUCGGUGGAACCUGUCUCACGUAAGCGUACGUGUAAGGUUGGUCCGGGCCGCUUCAUCCUACAAUGCCGCCGAAACAAGAAACGACUAGUAGCGGCAAGAAGAAUUGGCAACAUCAACGCCCACAACUUCUUUGUGUUCUACUCGUGCAUAGUAACUACGCAUAGGCCUGGCUCAUGAUGCCACUGUUGGGAAUCGUAGCAUAAUUUAAAAUUUUCCUACGCUCACCAAGAUGCAUCUAUGGAGUCUACUAGCAACGAGGGGAAAGGAGUGGAUCUACAUACCCUUGUAGAUCGCGAGCGGAAGCGUUCCAAUGAACGUGGAUGACGGAGUCGUACUCGCCGUGAUCCAAAUCACCGAUGACCGAGUGCCGAACGGACGGCACCUCCGCGUUCAACACACGUACGGUGCAGCGACGUCUCCUCCUUUCUUGAUCCAGCAAGGGGGAGGAGAGGUUGAUGGAGAUCCAACAGCACGACGGCGUGGUGGUGGAUGUAGCGGCUCUCCGGCAAGGCUUCGCCGAGCUUCUGCGCGCGAGAGAGAGGUGUUGCAAGGGAGGAGGGAGGCGCCAAAGGCUGUGUUCUGCUGCCCUCCCUCCCCCCCCCUUUAUAUAGGCCCCCAAGGGGGUGCGCAGCCCUUGGAGAUGGGAUCUCCAAGGGGGGGGCGGCGGCCAAGGGGGAAGGGGUUGCCUUGCCCCCCAAGGCAAGGGGAAACUCCCCCCCCCCCCUAGGGUUCCCAACCCUAGGCGCAUGGGGGGAGGCCCAAAGUGGCGCCCCAGCCCAUUAGGGGCUGGUUCCCCUCCACUUUCAGCCCACGGGGCCCUCCGGGACAGGUGGCCCCACCCGGUGGACCCCCGGGACCCUUCCGGUGGUCCCGGUACAAUACCGAUAAACCCCGAAACCUUCCCGGUGGCCAAAACUGGACUUCCUAUAUAUAAUUCUUCACCUCCGGACCAUUCCGGAACCUCUCGUGACGUCCGGGAUCUCAUCCGGGACUCCGAACAACUUUCGGGUUUCCGCAUACAUAUAUCUCUACAACCCUAGCGUCACCGGACCUUAAGUGUGUAGACCCUACGGGUUCGGGAGACAUGCAGACAUGACCGAGACGCCUCUCCGGUCAAUAACCAACAGCGGGAUCUGGAUACCCAUGUUGGCUCCCACAUGUUCCACGAUGAUAUCAUCGGGUGAACCACGGUGUCGAGGAUUCAAUCAAUCCGUAUGCAAUUCCCUUUGUCAAUCGGUAUGUUACUUGCCCGAGAUUCGAUCAUCGGUAUCCCAAUACCUAGUUCAAUCUCGUUACCGGCAAGUCUCUUUACUCGUACCGCAAUGCAUGAUCCCGUGACUAACGCCUUAGUCACAUUGAGCUCAUUAUGAUGAUGCAUUACCGAGUGGGCCCAGAGAUACCUCUCCGUUUACACGGAGUGACAAAUCCCAGUCUCGAUCCGUGCCAACCCAACAGACACUUUCGGAGAUACCCGUAAUGCACCUUUAUAGUCACCCAGUUAUGUUGUGACGUUUGGCACACCCAAAGCACUCCUACGGUAUCCGGGAGUUGCACGAUCUCAUGGUCUAAGGAAAAGAUACUUGACAUUGGAAAAGCUCUAGCAAACGAAACUACACGAUCUUUUAUGCUAUGCUUAAGUUGGGUCUUGUCCAUCACAUCAUUCUCCUAAUGAUGUGAUCCCGUUAUCAAUGACAUCCUAUGUCCAUAGUCAGGAAACCAUGACUAUCUGUUGAUCAACGAGCUAGUCAACUAGAGGCUUACUAGGGACAGGUUGUGGUCUAUGUAUUCACACAUGUAUUACGAUUUCCGGACAAUACAAUUAUAGCAUGAAUAAUAGACUAUCAUCAUGAACACAGAAAUAUAAUAAUAACCAUUUAUUAUUGCCUCUAGGGCAUAUUUCCAACAGAUUCUAUGCACGAGUAGAACACAAAGUAGUUGUGGGCGACGAUUUGUUCAAUUUGCUUACCGUUACUAGUCUUAUCUUGAUUCGGCGGCAUUGUGGGAUGAAGCGGCCCGGACCGACCUUACACGUACUCUUACGUGAGACAGGUUCCACCGACUGACAUGCACUUGAUGCAUAAGGUGGCUAGCGGGUGUCUGUCUCUCCCACUUUAGUCGGAUCGGAUUCGAUGAAAAGGGUCCUUAUGAAGGGUAAAUAGCAAUUGGCAUAUCACCGUUGUGGCUUUUGCGUAGGUAAGAAACGUUCUUGCUAGAAACCCAUAGCAGCCACGUAAAACAUGCAACAACAAUUAGAGGACGUCUAACUUGUUUUUGCAGGGUAUGCUAUGUGAUGUGAUAUGGCCAAAAGGAUCUGAUGAAUGAUAUAUAUAUGAUGUAUGAUAUUGAUCAUGUUCUUGUAAUAGGAAUCACGACUUGCAUGUCGAUCAGUAUGACAACCGGCAGGAGCCAUAGGAGUUGUCUUAAUUUAUUGUAUGACCUGCGUGUCAAUGAAAAACUCCAUGUAAUUACUUUACUUUAUUGCUAACCGUUAGCCAUAGUAGUAGAAGUAAUAGUUGGCGAGACAACUUCAUGAAGACACGAUGAUGGAGAUCAUGGUGUCAUGCCGGUGACGAAGGUGAUCAUGUCGCGCCUCGAAGAUGGAGAUCAAAAGGCGCAAGAUGAUAUUGGCCAUAUCAUGUCACUUUAUGAUUUGCAUGUGAUGUUUGUCAUGUUUACAUCUUAUUUGCUUAGAACGACGGUAGCAUAAAUAAGAUGAUCCCUCACUAAAAUUUCAAGAGAUGUGUUCCCCCUAACUGUGCACCGUUGCGAAGGUUCGUUGUUUCGAAGCACCACGUGAUCAUCGGGUGUGAUAGAUUCUAACGUUCGCAUACAACGGGUGUUGACGAGCCUAGCAUGUACAGACAUGGCCUCGGAACACAAGCAAAACACUUGGUUGACUUGACGAGCCUAGCAUGUACAGACAUGGCCUCGGAACACAACAGACCGAAAGGUCGAACAUGAGUCGUAUAGUAGAUACGAUCAACAUGGAGAUGUUCACCGAUGAUGACUAGUCCGUCUCACGUGAUGAUCGGACACGGCCUAGUCGAUUCGGAUCAUGUAUCACUUAGAUGACUAGAGGGAUGUCUAUCUAAGUGGGAGUUCAUUAAAUAAUCAGAUGAACUUAAUUAUCACGAACAUAGUCAAAAGGUCUUUGCAAAUAAUGUCGUAGCUUACGCUUUAGUUCUACUAAGAUAUGUUCCUAGAGAAAAUUUAGUUGAAAGUUGAUAGUAGCAAUUAUGCGGACUGGGUCCGUAAACUGAGGACUGUCCUCAUUGCUGCACAGAAGGCUUAUGUCCUUAAUGCACCGCUCGGUGUGCUGAAUCUCAAGCGUCGUCUGUAGAUGUUACGAAACAUCUGACAUACAUGUUUUGAUGACUGCGUGAUAGUUCAGUGUGUGAUGCUAACGGCUUAAAAUUGUGGCACGAAAGACGGUUUUGACACAUCGCAGAACAUAUGAGAUGUUCCAAAGACUGAAAUUGGGAUUUCAGACUAAUGCCCACGUCAAGAGGUAUGAGACCUCUGACAAGUUUCUUAAGCCUGCAAACUAAGGGAGAAAAGCUCAAUCGUUGAGCAUGUGCUCAGAUUGUCUGAGUACUACAAUCACUUGAAUCGAGUGGGAGUUAAUCUUCCAGAUGAGAUAGUGAUGGUUCUCCAUAGUCACUGCCACCAAGCUAUUAGAGCUUCGUGAUGAACUAUAACAUAUCAGGGAUAGACAUGAUGAUCCUUGAGCAACUCGCGAUGUUUGACACCGCGAAAGUAGAAAUCAAGAAGGAGCAUCAAUUGUCGAUGGUUAGUAAAACCACUAGUUUCUAGAAGGGCAAGGGCAAGAAGGGAUACUUCAUGAAACGACAAAUCAGUUGCUGCUCUAGUGAAGAAACCCAAGGUUGAACCCAAACCCGAGACUAAGUGCUUCUGAAAUGAGGGGAACGGUCACUGAAGCAGAACUACCCUAGAUACUUCAUAGAUGAGAAGGCUGGCAAGGUCGACAGAAGUAUAUUGGAUAUACAUUAUAUUAAUGUGUACUUUACUAGUACUCCUAGUAGCACCAGGGUAUUAGAUACCGGUUCGGUUGCUAAGUGUUAGUAACUCGAAAUAAAAGCUGCGGAAUAAACGGAGACUAGCUAAAGGUGAGAUGACGAUAUGUGUUGGAAGUGUUUCCAAGGUUGAUGUGAUCAAGCAUCGCAUGCUCCCUCUACCAUCGAGAUUGGGGUUAAACCUGAAUAAUUAUUAUUUGGUGUUUGCGUUGAGCAUAGACAUGAUUGGAUUAUGUUUAUCGCAAUACGGUUAUUCAUUAAAGGAGAAUAAUGGUUACUCUGUCUAUUUGAAUAAUACCUUCAAUGGUCUUGCACCUAAAAUGAAUGGGUUAUUGAAUCUCGAUCGUAGUGAUACACAUGUUCAUGCCAAAAGAUAUAAGAUAGUAAUGAUAGUACCACAUACUUGUGGCACUGCCACUUGAGUCAUAUUGGUAUAAAACGCAUGAAGAAGCUCCAUGUUGAUGGAUCUUUGGACUCACUCGUUUUUGAAAAGAUUGAGACAUGCGAACCAUGUCUAUUAGUAUAUAUGCAUGAAGAAAGUACAUACAGAUGGAUCAUUUGGACUCACUUGAUUUUGAAUCACUUGAGACAUGCAAAUCAUACCGCAUGGGCAAGAUGACUGAAAGGCCUCGUUUUCAGUAAGAUGGAACAAGAGAGCAACUUGUUGGAAGUAAUACAUUUGAUGUGUGCAGUCUAAUGAGUGCUGAGGCACGUAGUGGAUAUCGUUAUGUUCUUACUUCACAGAUGAUUUGAGUAGAUGCUGAGAAUAUUUACUUGAUGAAACACAAGUCUGAAUUAUUGAAAGGUUCAAGUAAUUUCAGAGUGAAGUUGAAGAUCGUCGUGACAAGAGGAUAAAAUGUCUGUGAUAUGAUCAUAGAGAUGAAUAUCUGAGUUACGAGUUUGGCACACAAUUAACAAAUUGUGGAAAUUGUUUCACGACUAAUACCGCCUGGAACACCAUAUUGUGAUGGUGUGUCCGAACAUCAUAACUGCACCCUAUUGGAUAUGGUGCAUACCAUGUUGUCUCUUAUCAAAUUACAACUAUCGUUUAUGGGUUAGGCAUUAGAGACAACCGCAUUCACUUUAAAUAGGGCACCACGCAAUUCCAUUGAGACGACACCGUAUGAACUAUGGUUUAGAGAAACCUAAGCUGUCGUUUCUUAAAAGUUUGGGGCUGCGACGCUUAUGUGAAAAAGUUUCAGGCUGAUAAGCUCGAACCCAAAGCGGAUAAAUGCAUCUUCAUAGAAUACCCAAAACAGUUGGGUAUACCUCCUAUUUCAGAUCUGGAAGCAAAAGUGAUUGUUUCUAGAAACGGGUCCUUUCUCGAGGAAAAGUUUCUCUCGAAAGAAUUGAGUGGGAGGAUGGUGGAGACUUGAUGAGGUCAUUGAACCGUCACUUCAACUAAUGUGUAGCAGGGCACAGGAAGUUGUUCCUGUGGCACCUACACCAAUUGAAGUGGAAGCUUAUGAUAGUGAUCAUGAAACUUCAGAUCAAGUCACUACCAAACCUCAUAGGACGACAAGGAUGCGUACUACUUUAGAGUGGUACGUAAUCCUGUCUUAGAAGUCAUGUUGCUAGACAACAAUGAACCUACGAGCUAUGGAGAAGCGAUGGUGGGCCCGAAUUCCGACGAAUGGCUCGAGGCCAUAAAAUCCGAGAGGAUCCAUGUAUGAAAACAAAGUAUAGACUUUGAAAGAACUACUUGAUGGUCGUAAGGCUGUUGGGUACAGAUGGAUUUUAAAGGGAAGACAGACAAUGAUGGUAAGUGUCACCAUUAAGAAAGCUCGACUUGUCGUUAAGAUGUUUUCCGGCAAGUUCAAGGAGUUGACUGCGAUGAGACUUUCUCACUCGUAGUGAUGCUAAGAGUCUGUUAGAAUUAUAUUAGCAGUUACGGCAUUAUUUAUGAAAUCUUGCAGAUAGGAUGUCAAAACAUUGUUUCCUCGACGAUUUUCUUGAGGAAAGGUUGUAUGUGAUACAACCAGAAGGUUUUGUCAAUCCUGAAAGAUGCUAACAAGUAUGCAAAGCUCCAGGAAUCCUUCUAAGGAUUGGAGUAAGCAUCUCGGAGUUGGAAUGAACGCUUUGAUGAGAUGAUCAAAGAUUUUGAGUUUAUACAAAGUUCAUGAGAAACUUGUAUUUCCAAAGAAGUGAGUGGGAGCACUAUAGAAUUUUUGAUGAGUAUAUGUUGUUAACAUAUUGUUGAUCAGAAAUGAUGUAGAAUUUCUAGAAAGCAUCCAGGGUUAUUUGAAAAGUGUUUUUAAUGGAAAAACUGGAUUAAGCUACUUGAACAUUGAGCAUCAAGAUCUAUAAGGAUAGAUCAAAAAUGCUUAAUAGUACUUUCAAAUGAAUACAUACCGUGACAAGAUUUUGAAGGAGUUCAAAAUAGAUCAGCAAAGAAGGAGUUCUUGGCUGUGUUACAAGGUGUGAGUAUUGAGUAAGACUCAAGACCUGACCACGGCAGAAGAAAGAGAAAGGACGAAGGUCGUCCCCUAUGCUUUAGACGUAGGCUCUACAAUAUGCUAUGCUGUGUACCGCACCUGAAGUGUGCCUUGCCAUGAGUUAGUCAAGGGGUACAAUAGUGAUCUAGGAAGGGAUCACAUGACAGCGGUCGAACUUAUCCUUAGUAUCUAGUGGACUAAGGAAUUUUCUCGAUUAUGGAGGUGGAAAGGGGGUUCGUCGUAAAGGGUUACGUCGAUGCAAACUUUGACACUAAUCCGGAUGACUCUGAGUAGUGAACCGGAUUCGUAUAGUAGAGCAGUUAUUUGGAAUAGCUCCAAGUAGCGCGUGGUAGCUGCAUCUACAAGAUGACAUAGAGAUUUGUAAGGCACACACGGAUCUGAAUGUUGCAGACCCGUUGACUAAAACCUCUCUCGUAAGCAUAUAUAACAUGAUCAAACCCUAGAACUCAUUGAGUGUUAAUCACAUGGUGAUGUGAACUAGAUUAUUGACUCUAGUAAACUCUUGGGUAUUAGUCACAUGGCGAUGUGAACUUUGAGUGUUAAUCACAUGGUGAUGUGAACUAGAUUAUUGACUCUAGUGCAAGUGGGAGACUAUUGGAAAUAUGCCCUAGAGGCAAUAAUAAAAUGGUUAUUAUUGUAUCUCCUUGUUCAUGAUAAUUGUCUGUUGUUCAUGCUAUAAUUGUAUUAACUGGAAACCGUAAUACAUGUGUGAAUACAUAGACCACAACAUGUCCCUAGUAAGCCUCUAGUUGACUAGCUCGUUGAUCAAUAGAUGGUUAUGGUUUCCUGACCAUGGACAUUGGAUGUCAUUGAUAACGGGAUCACAUCAUUAGGAGAGUGAUGUGAUGGACAAGACCCAAUCCUAAGCAUAGCACAAGAUCGUGUAGUUCGUUUGCUAGAGCUUUUCUAAUGUCAAGUAUCAUUUCCUUAGACCAUGAGAUUGUGCAACUCCCGGAUACCGUAGGAAUGCUUUGGGUGUACCAAACGUCACAACGUAACUGGGUGGCUAUAAAGGUGCACUACGGGUAUCUUCGAAAGUGUCUGUUGGGUUGGCAUGAAUCGAGACUGGGAUUUGUCACUUCGUAUGACAGAGAGGUAUCUCUGGGCCCACUCGGUAAUGCAUCAUCAUAAUGAGCUCAAUGUGACCAAGUGUUUGGUCACGGGAUCAUGCAUUACGGUACGAGUAAACUGACUUGCCGGUAACGAGAUUGAACAAGGUAUUGGGAUACCGACGAUCGAAUCUCGGGCAAGUAACGUACCGAUUGACAAAGGGAAUUGUAUACGAGAUUGAUUGAAUCCUCGACAUCGUGGUUCAUCCGAUGAGAUCAUCGUGGAACAUGUGGGAGCCAACAUGGGUAUCCAGAUCCCGCUGUUGGUUAUUGACUGGAGAGUCGUCUCGGUCAUGUCUGCAUGUCUCCCGAACCCGUAGGGUCUACACACUUAAGGUUCGGUGACGCUAGAGUUGUAGAGAUAUUAGUAUGCGGUUAACCGAAAGUUGUUCGGAGUCCCGGAUGAGAUCCCGGACGUCACGAGGAGUUCCGGAAUGGUCCGGAGGUAAAUAUUUAUAUAUGGGAAGUCCUAUUUUGGCCACCGGAAAAUGUUCGGGAUUUUUCGGUAUUGUACCGGAAAGGUUCUAGAAGGUUCCGAAGUGGGGCCCACCUGCAUGGGGGACCCACAUGAACGUGGGUAGUGGGGGCAAGGCCCCACACCCCUGGUCAAGGCGCACCAAGAUCCCACCUUAGAAGGAAUAAGAUCAUAUCCCGAAGGGAUAAGAUCAAGAUCCCUAAAAAAGGGGGAUAACAAUCGGUGGGGAAGGGAAAUGAUGGGAUUUCUUUUCCCCACCUUUGCCAACGCCCCAAUGGACUUGGAGGGCAAGAAAGCAGCCCCCUCCACCCCUAUAUAUAGUGGGGAGGCGCAUGGGAGCAGCACCCCAAGCCCUGGCGCCUCCCUCCCUCCUGUGACACCUCUUCCUCCCCGCUUGCGCUUGGCGAAGCCCUGCCGGGAUCCCGCUACUUCCACCACCACGCCGUCGUGCUGCUGGAUCUCCAUCAACUUCUCCUCCCCCCUUGCUCGAUCAAGAAGGAGGAGACGUCCCCGCUCCGUACGUGUGUUGAACGCGGAGGUGCCGUCCGUUCGGCGCUAGGAUCAUCGGUGAUUUGGAUCACGACGAGUACGACUCCAUCAACCCCGUUCUCUUGAACGCUUCCGCUCGCGAUCUACAAGGGUAUGUAGAUGCACUCCUCCCCUCUUGUUGCUAGCAUCUCCUAGAUUGAUCUUGGUGACACGUAGGAAAAUUUUGAAUUUCUGCUACGUUCCCCAACAGGAGAGUGUGUCCACGUACCCUCGUAGACCAAAAGCGGAAGCGUUAGGUUAACGCGGUUGAUGCAGUCGAACGUUUUCACGAUCCAACCGAUCUAGUGCCGAACGUACGACACCUCCGAGUUCAGCACACGUUCAGCUCGAUGACGUCCCUCGAACUCUUGAACCAGCAGAGGGUCGAGGGAGAGUUUCUUCAGCACGACGGCUGGUGAUAGUGAUGGUGAUGUGAUCCGCGCAGGGCUUCACCUAAGAACUACGACGCUAUGACCGGAGGAGUAAACUGUGAAGGGAGGCACCGCACACGGCUAACAGAACAAUUGAUGUGCCAUGGGGUGCCCCCUGCCCCUGUAUAUAAAGGAGGGGAGGAGGAGGCGGCCGGCCAAGAGAGGCGCGCCAUGGGGGGGAGUCCUACUAUGACUCCACUCCUAGUAGAAUUCGCCCCCCCCCUUUUUCCUUUCUUCAUCGAAGGGGAAAAGAAAGGAGUGGGAGAGGGAGAUGGAAAGAGGGAAAGGGGGGCGCCGCCCCCUCCCCUAGUCAUUCGGACUCCCAUGGGGGGGGGGGGUCGCUCGGCCACCCCUUGUGGGCUGUCCCCUCUCUCUCCCGUGGCCCAUGAGGCCCAUGACUAACCCCUCGGUACUCCGGUAAAAUACCCGAACCACUCAAAACCAUUCCGAUGUCCGAAUACCACCUUCCAAUAUAUCAAUCUUUACCUCUCGACUAUUUCAAGACUCCUCGUCAUGUUCGUGAUCUCAUCUGGGACUUCGAACAAACUUCGGUCACCAAAACACAUAACUCAUAAUACAAAUCGUCAUCGAACGUUAAGCGUGCGGACCCUAGGUGUUGGGGAUAUACCCCGCGGUAUGACCCGGCCGGGAGUAUGACCCGGCCGGGCUUGACGCUUCAUCGUAACCUGCCGGAAGAUUGGCAACUCAUGAGCCUGGCGACUUAAUGAUGGCCCCGACGGCGGGUCAGACGGAUGACAAGGGCCCAAGGCCCAGUAGGCCGGGACGUGUUAUUAUGGGCCGUCUUAAGACGGAAGGCAUGAGGAAUAUUUCCUUUACGAGGAAGCAAGACCCGUACUUGUAUCCGACUUGUAAUAGAGAAUAAGUUAGUUCUAAUCCUACUAGGAUUCUACAUGUAAAGCCGCCUCUCCAACUUAUAUAAGGAGGGGCAGGGCACCCCAAAGAGGGACAAGCAACAAGAAACAAUCUCUAGGGCUAGACACAAAGAGCCGGCUUACCGGCGACUCUCUCAUGAGCAUAAUGAGACCUAGCCACAAACAACAUGUAGGGCUAUUACCGGAUGAUGUUUCCCGGGGCCCGAAGCUGUCUAAAUCCUUGUCUUGUGUUGCGUCUCUCGAUUCGAUCCAACCCCUCUCAAGCUACCACAUAGAUGCGCUGGCCUCGCGACUAAGUCCUGACACUAAGGACAUCUGCCGUGACAAUUCCACGACAGUUGGCGCCCACCGUGGGGCCUGCGCACGGUGGUGUUGAGUUCUUGAAGGGAUCUCUUUCAGGGAUCGAGAAAUUACAACCUGCCGGAUCAGUAAGAGCCGGCGUGGAAGAAUUCACGUCAACUACGAAGUUCAUCAGUCAAGAUUGAAGAAAUUUUCAGCAGCGGCGUAUACAAGAUUGAGCAUAAAAGUUUAGGGUUGCGUCUGUGCUGCACGCUGUUUUUUCUGUCGCAGUGACGAUGGAAGCUUCCGUAGCAAAUUCAACAUAUGCCCUGUGGCUCGUGUUCUGAUCGAAACACGCAAAUCCGAUCUGCCAAGGGAUACAGAGACAAGACUCGAGUUGAUCUGAUCUUAUUACUACUGCUCCUACUUCCUAUGGUAAAGCGUCGACCAUUGCUGUAUAUUUGUACUCCAUACAUAAUCUGUUGCCGGAUCAAGUACCGAGACAGACAACGAUCUGCUGAUGCUAUUUUCUGGCACGAAGACUAAAUCAAAUCGCAGCGGUCAUCCAGUCCUAAUUACGUCAUGAGACGGCUCAAACAAUAAGUUCAUCAAUUGUAAUGGCCACUGAGUAAAGUUACCAAGUGGGAGUACAAAGUUGGAUCAGAGAAAAGAAGCACUUCGAGUUGGAUCGUAACUUGGCUACCAAAUCCGACUGCUAGUCCUCCAAUCUUCAGGAGAAGAGCAGGGCUAUAGAUAGACCAUGUUCGGUCUGAGUUCCAAAAAAAAAAGGGACGCUGUACGCGCUGCCGCGGAGCAUCUACGUAUGUACGAUAGCAGUCAAGUCGCAAGCAGCAUCCAUGUUCUCUAGCGGCAGCUGGCUCCAUGCGCGGAAGUCAUGAAAUCCCACAUGGAUUUGUCCCUACGCAAAGGAAUCAAGUGAUUGAGAGAAAACUACGCAAUCAUGUACAUAUACACAGUACAUCCAAUCCAACCUCCACCGAAGAUGCAUGGAUACGAGGUUAAAACCAAAUCAGUUACAACGCUGCUUACACGACGGGAACUGGACCAGGCUACAGGAUUUGGUCUCCGCCUCGGUCUUUGCCGGCGCUUCUCCGGGCAGCCCCGACUGUAUGGUCUUUUCAACGAGUUGCCUCGCCCUGCGCGUGAGUCGCCCACGCCUUUCUUUCUUACGGCCUCUACUGCAAGCCGGCCUCGGCCGGCCGCUGCUGUCCGUCUUCGAGACCUCCGUCUCCGCCCGCCUCGGCCGUAGCGGGGCCGAGCUGCCGCCUAUUGUCGCCUCUGCUAAGGCCCGUGGCCUCGCCUCGCUCUCCGCCCGCAGUGGCCCUGCCUGCGCCCCGCCGCGGCCGGCUCCGCGUCGCCGCUGGGAUCUCCGCCUUUGCUGAGGCUUCCGAGCGGCCGCGCCCCCACCGCGAGUCACCCUUGCCAGCGCGGCCCGACCUCCGUGCGCCCCUUCAAGUCGCCUCCGCCGGCUCAGUCGCCGGCCUUUACUGCGAGCUACCGUCGCGCUGGCCUCUCCUCGUGAGAGGCCUCGCCUCGAGCUGGCUCUGCUGCUUCCCUGUACCACUGUUUCCUGAAAAGUCAAAGCAGUCAGGUGUUUAAAAAAAAGAAAAAGAAAAGGAGGGGGCCUUAUAGAGCUCAUAAGAGAAAGACAAACAAUGGCUGAUCAUCAGAUUUCUCUGUUUGCAUCGGAUGGGCUGUACAUCACGAGGAUAUGUACGGAUGCUAAAGGCGGAUCUUCUGGGGUCUGAACAAAUCAGCUUAAUCUACAUCAACCUGCCGGAGCCGCGUUGAGCCGCCCUUGCCGCUUUGAGCCGCCGGAACUAUAUCGAGUCGCUGGUCUGCCUGAGCCACCUCUGUCGCGAUAAACGAAUCAUCCGUCGUCCAAACAAAUCAGGUGAUAUCCAUCCAAGUUUGUUUUAUUAGCACAUGUUAUUUUUGUCAAAGAACAAGUUUAUCUUUGCCUUGGUCUGCAAUAUUCUUUAUGUAGGGCAAUUAUUUAUGACAAAAAGUGAUAUUAUACCGUGGAGAUGGAGGCACCCCAACAUCUUUUGGCACAGGUGGCCGUCGUUACUCAACGGACUCCCGCACCGGCUUACAACGCCGUGGCCGUCUCUCGCGACCACGCCGGCUUACAACAAGGGGGACAACUUGCCCGUCCGCACCGGUUUACAACGGCCACGGCCGGUUCAUCUGUCUGUGCCGCCUCAGAUGUUGCGGUCGUCUUUACCGUCCGUCUCUCACGGCCUGGUCUACAUCAACACACCGGGCCGCACCUGUCUGCAUGAGCUGUUUAUUGGGUAUGAGCAAGUCACUGCUUGGGUAGCCCGGUUUUCCUCCAACAAAUUGGAGGCAAGUUAUCAUGUCUUAUCAGCCGCCGUCUGCACUGGAUGGCUCAAUGGGUAGGUGCACAAGUCGCCGCCACUACGGUUUGGUUAACUUCAAACAGCCAGUUGGAAGGAACCAUUGGCCGAGUUGCUGACACGGCUCAUACAGGAUCAUUUAUAACCCGCCGCAGUCACCUCAACCUUCUGUGGAUUCACAUCGCGCUAUCAACACCAAUGAUAUACACCUUAUGCUAUGGUCAAUAUGGAGAAUCUCAAAGCCAACUUCUCGAGUCGUCUUGAGACUCGGGGGCUACAAUGAUAUGACUCAGCAGCAUUGGUCGGUUUCAAUGCAUUCAAGAGCUCCGGGUCAUUGGAGGGAAAAAAUAACCCGGUCCCGGAGGCUACCGCCAUAUUGGUAAAAAGUUUAAAGGCCGUCAGAAAAUUUCGGGCUUAAAAAGAAGGAUUCCGGUUUAGAUCCGGCUCAAGAGACUUGACAUCUCCCACAAAGCACUGAAGCUCUUAAAUAUCCGGUUUAAAAUCCGGUUCAAGGGAAAUUUAUCUGCCACAAAGUUUUGAAGCUCUCAAAUCCGGUUCAAGGUAAAUUUGUUUAUCACAAAGCUUUGAAACUCUCAAUAUCCGGUUUUUCCGGUUCAAAAAGAAUUUAUCUCUCGCAAAAGUUCGAGUUCUCAGGAAAAAUUAAAGGGACCAAAAAGAGUCUGUUACAAAGCACAACCCAAACAUAGGUACCCUGCUUUAAUGACCAUUCGGAGCUGAUCGUAUUCGAAUUUAGCUUAACCCUUUAGGUGUGACCCUGAUCGUAUUCGAAUCAGAUUCGUUAAAUAUUCUCAUGAUCACUAGGGGGCUUCCUGUUCAAACAUAGGUCGUAUUCGAACCAAAGAGAACAUAGAUGUCGGUACCCUCUUGAUCGGCACACUGCCGAGCUCACUAGGGGGCUUCUUGAUCGUAUUUGAAUCAUAGAUCAACCCCUUUUGGGAACCGACGUGGAUCGUAUUCGAAUCAGCGUCGUUAAACAACUCUCAAGGUCAUUUGGGGGCUUCCUGUUCAAACAUAGGUCGUAUUCGAACCAACGAGAACAUAACUGUCGGUACCCUCUUGAUCGGCAACGCCAAAGCCAUUGGGGGCUAUAUGAUCGUAUUCGAAUCUUAGCUUAACCCCUUUGGGACGGUUUUCCGAUCGUAUUCGAAUCAGAAGCCUCAAUUUUUUUGAAGUCUCUUUUUGCAAACAAUUUUUGGAUUUUAUUUGAAGCUCUUUUGAUCAUAUCUAAAGUGUAUAUGAGUGGUUGCUAUUUAACCCGGUUUGACUUUGGAUGAUAAGUCGCCAUCAUAUGACAAUCAUAAACAUUUGGAAGUCAUGAUUUCUAAAGAUUGGGUUAUCACCCGUACUGCACAGGUCACAUAAACCGGCAGUGAAAAUUCAAUAUCACAGGUAUAAUAUUAUUAUUAUAGUUAUGUUUCAAAGUUAUGAUUCAUAACAGGCUUAUCUGUGACUCCUUGUUACACAACAAUGGUUAUAUGUGAGAUAUUAUGACCCGCCCUGCGGUAAACCGCCAAGGGAUCUUGUGAUCUAAUUAUGUGCAGGAUAAGACUACAUUUGGGUGGUUACCCGCUCUGGUUUUUGACGUUAAGUCGCCAGGGCGUAUGUUGUUUAAACUUUGCAGGAUUUACAGAGCUAUGACUUACAUAAAUGAUUAAAUUCAAGCCCAUCAUCAUAGAUUAAAAUUGGUGUCUCAAAAGGGUUAUCAAUUCUUGAUUUUCUCAAAGGCUAUAAGCCGCCGGGUUGUACAAAUUCCGGCUUACAAUGGAGGCGUAUUAAAUCGCCAUCGGCCAAGAGCCGCCGGGUAUUUAAACUCCGGAUUGACUUAUCAACAGAUGAGGUAUUCAAAGUCGCUUUGGCGCAAUGGCUAUUAUUUUAUCAAUGGAUAUGAUUUAUUCUAUAAUAGAAAGAAUAGUCCCGAGUCGCUGCAGGUUUACGACCCGGCACUUGGGGGCUACAUUAUUUAAAUUGAGAUCACAUCAAAUAUGCAAGUCCCAUGUCACUGCCAGCAUGCACCAUGGCACUUGGGGGCUAAUGUCAAGACAUUUUUUUCUCAACUUAUUGAAGACCCGACUCAUCACAUUGUAAUGAGCCGGCACUUGGGGGCUACCAAUUGCUCCUAUCGAAAAUUCAAGGUACAGAAGCCUUAAUCUAUUAUAUUGAAAGAUCCACUACUCAGUUGGUAGAGUACAAAGCUCUUAACCUUGUGGACGUGGGUUCAAGCCCCAUGGUGGAGAUUACAUCAUAUGUUGUUAUUAUCAAUGAAGCAUAUACAAAGUCCCAGCUCGGUAAUAUCUUACUAACCCAGCCCUUGGGGGCUACACGUUGCUAGUCAAGUUUACAUGAUCAUAUUUACAAAAUCCCUGCUCAUUAUUAUAUAAUGACCCGGCCCUUAGGGGCUACACUGGUUGAAGUUUUUAUGAGCAUAAGGCAAUUACAAGUCCCAGGUUGCUGCACGCAUGACAACCCGGCAUUUGGGGGCUACAUAUGUGGAAUAUUCAGUUUAUGACUAAUGAUUGAGAUGAAUAACCCGGUUUUCUUCAAGGUUGCAACACUUAUAUUGAAGCAAGUCUUAAGUUAUCACUAUGUUCUCCUCUUAAGACUUGGGGGCUACAGGUGAUAUGCAUAUAAGGGAGAAAAAAUCUUUAAAUUCUCAGUUUGGAGCAGACCAGAUUGACCCGUGUUUGCAACAAGCAUGACCCGGUGUCACCAAUAAUAAUGACCCGGCGUCGGCAACAGUUAUGACCCGGUGUUAUCAAUAUUUACAAGACGGUAAUUUUGGCAAUUAUAACUAGCCAGCCUCUACAUCUUUAAACUGGCGGAUCACCAGAUGAAUCUUGAGUCUAAGAUGUUUAUUAAGCCGGAGUUUUGGAAACCGACUCAAAUGGAUUAUUUCUUAUAAUAUUUCUCUACAAGAGCCAAUGUCAGCAAAUUGGUUAUGAAGCUGGCCUAUUGACCUGGAUUUUUUAGAAGAAGUGCCUGGAUUUUUUGCAUUGGCAAGGUUUGGACAUAUCUACAUUUGCUAUAAGAUCUUGAGUAUGCAUCCAGGAGGAAAUGACAAGGACUUAAAGAUGAUCAGGUGCCGGUUCAGGAAAAUAUUUAACCUGGUGCACAACCUAUCAAGUUUGUUCUUGUGUUUAUUUUACAGGAUCAGUUUAACAUGGAUAAAUCCAAAUUAAACUGGGGGCUAAUGUCGGGGAUAUACCCCGCGGUAUGACCCGGCCGGGAGUAUGACCCGGCCGGACUUGACGCUUCAUCGUAACCCGCCGGAAGAUUGGGAACUCAUGAGCCUGGCGACUUAAUGAUGGCCCCGACGGCGGGUCAGACGGAUGACAAGGGCCCAAGGCCCAGUAGGCGGGGACGUGUUAUUAUGGGCCGGCUUAAGACGGAAGGCAUGAGGAAUAUUUCCUUUACGAGGAAGCAAGACCCGUACUUGUAUCCGACUUGUAAUAGAGAAUAAGUUAGUUCUAAUCCUACUAGGACUCUACAUGUAAAGCCGCCUCUCCAACUUAUAUAAGGAGGGGCAGGGCACACCAAAGAGGGACAAGCAACAAGAAACAAUCUCUAGGGCUAGACAUAAAGAGCCGGCUUACCGGCGACUCUCUCAUGAGCAUAAUGAGACCUAGCCACAAACAACAUGUAGGGCUAUUACCGGAUGAUGUUUCCCGGGGCCCGAAGCUGUCUAAAUCCUUGUCUUGUGUUGCGUCUCUCGAUUCCACCCAACCCCUCUCAAGCGACCACAUUGAUGCGCUGGCCUCGCGACUAAGUCCUGACACUAAGGACAUCUGCCGUGACAAUUCCACGACACUACGGGUUCGGGAACUAUGUAGACAUGACCGAGACACAUCUCCGAUCAAUAACCAACAGCGGAACCUGGAUGCUCAUAUUGGUUACUACAUAUUCUUCAAAGAUCUUUAUCCGUCAAACCGCAAUAACAACAUACGUUAUUCCCUUUGUCAUCGGUAUGUUACUUACCCGAGAUUCAAUCGUCGGUAUCAUCAUACCUAGCUCAAUCUUGUUACCGGCAAGUCUCUUUACUCGUUCCAUAAUGCAUCAUCCCAUAACUAACUCAUUAGUCACAUUGCUUGCAAGGCUUAUAGUGAUGUGCAUUACCGAGAGGGCCCAGAGAUACAUCUCCCAUACUGAAGAAACAAAUGAAAAAAGAAUGAAAGAGGAAAAAAAAAUAAAAAAACCGAAUAAAACCGAAUAAAAUAAAAGAAAAUGGAGAAACGAAAAAAAAAGAAAACCUGUGAGAAACCAAUUCUUUUCCUUCUAAUAUGUUCUGCCCAAGUAGCUUAAUAUGAAUUAGAUGUUGUCCUAGUGAUUAUUAGUGCGAUAAAGCAAUCUGGAGGUUAGUGUAACAAAAAGCAACCUAGGGGUUCCAGGCUCGCCACCUCCAGCCUCGGCCUUACAGCCCUUAGGCCGCCACACUUCAUCAAGAAUAUAAAAAGGUUGAUGAGCGCUUUUUCAGGAGCUUCACAACGAUGUGGCACGCUCACAGCCACCUGCCCCGUGUCGCGCUCUGGGUAUUCCCUUCGGAUUUUUUUCCGCACGCGUUUUCGGCUUUUUAAAAGGUUUUUUUCUGUGUUUUCUACGUUUUGGUUUUUCAACGGUCUUCCUUAGAUUUUGCGCGAAAAACGCGUUUUUUUACUUGCGCGAGAGGCACGGUUUUGCUUCCGCAAAAGGUAGAAUUUGCUUUUGAGAGAGGCACAACCAUGCCUCUCGGAAAUGGAAAAAAACACUUUUUCUUUUUUUUGUUCUUCCGCGAGAGGCGCGGUUUUGCUUUCGCGAGAGGCACGCCCGUGCCUCUUAGAAAUGAAUAAAAACAUGUUUUCUGUUUUUUUUUCUUUCGUCAGAGGCACAGUUUUGCUUCCGCGAGAGGCACGGUUUUGCUUCGCGACUCUCGGAAACGGGAAAAAACAUGUUUUCUGUAUUUUUGCUUCCGCGAUAGGCGCGGUUUUGUUUUCGCGAGAGGCAUGGUUAUGAUUUCGCGAGAGGCGCGGACGUGCCUCUUUUGGAAAGGAAAAAAACCAUGCUCUCAGUUCGGCUUGUUCGUCCGGUUUUUUUUAAUGAAAAAAGUUGUUAAAACCUAUCAACAUGGGAUCUAGUUUUGAAGAUCUGGCCGCGAGGAGUCAACGGUGAAAAACGGUUUGAGCUUUGAACACACGGUUUAAGAGAUAAAACAUUUUGAAUAAACACAUGUAUGAAAAAAAGAAACACUCUCAGGUUGCGACAAGUGGCGCACACGCAAUGCAUCACUUGUCACAAUCUGGAAAGAUGGGAGUGAUCUUUGUGAGAAGUACUUCUCAAUUAGUGAUUUCGUAAAAAUAAUGCCUCAAAAGAAAUCAAGAACACCAAAAAGGAAAAUCCUAUUUGCCGCAUUCUGCUGCAGAUUGUCGUUGAUUCGCACAUAGGGAGCAAUCAGCAAUCGACAUGGGCCGGCCCAAUUAUCUUUAAAGAACGGGCUACAGUAUGUGCCGGUUUUAGCUACAUUCUAGGAGGUUCCAGUUGGAUUUUCCUUUCACUAGGAACCUUCUAGAUGGUAAGGGAAGGUUCCUGAACCGGUUUUAUGUCUUUUUCUGUUUCUUUUUCAUUUUUUCUUUUCUAUUAUUUUUUCUUUUUCUUUCCUUUUUCGCUUUUUAUUUUCUUUGUUGUUUUCCUUUCCUUCCUUUUUUAAUUUAAAUUUUACUUUUAUUUUUCAACAAAUCUUCAGAAAUUUUGAAAAAGUUUGCAUUUUUUUAAAUCAUUUUCUAAAAAGUUCCUGUUUCAAAUUUUGUUCACAAACUCCAAAAAAGUUAGAAUUUAAAUAUUUAUUUUAUACUUUACAAGAAAUGUUCGAAAAUUCCAAAAAAUAGGAUUUCUAAUUUAAAAAUGUUAGCAUUUUAAUUUUUGUUCACAAAUUCGGAAAAUAUUGGGAAGUUCAAAAGAUGUACCCACUUUCAAAAUUUGUUUGCAAAUUCAAAAAUGUUCAAGUUUUCAAAAAAGAUUCAAAAUAACAAAAAAAUUCCAGGGAUCUCAACAAAUGUUCGCCUUUGAAUUUUUGUUCACAAAUUUAAUUUUUUUUCCGGAAUUUCACUUUCCAAAUAUGUGCACGAAUAAAAAAAAGCCAUGUUUUCAGAAUAAAAAAUCUUUCUGUACAAAAUCAUGAGCAAAAUGACCUUCUAGGUGUUAGCUUACUGGUCAACAAAGCUAGUGUUUGCUUUGAGACAAUUAUAUAAAUAAUAGAACAUUCGACAUGGUACACAACUGUAGUAUGAAGACAACAUUAGGAUAGAGAAAUACACUACAAAUUUAGACGAAGAGAAAAUAAAUUAACAACCUCUCAGAGAGCAAAACAAAAUAUUGGUUAUCAUCACCUUGUAGUACAUUUGCGAAGCCUUGUAGUGCAUUUGCCAAUAGUCACCUCUCUGCAUCAAUAAUAGAAAUUGUACCUUAGUCCGCCUACUAGAAAAUUGAGAUAUUACUUUUGAAGUUAAUUGAUAUGUUAAAUUCUGCAAUAGCUUCGGUCAACAGGUAAUUUUACUGGGCAUGAUAGUGCUUGUUAAAAAAAACUGCUACAACAAACUGCAACAUUCCAUUAGAUUUAGUGUCGGUUCAUUAUACUAGUGUUAAUCUCAAUCUGGUCAUUUCUGGUGCCAAGGAAUCUAGAUCAGUCCAUGAAAGUUUGAUAAUUAUGUGAUUUGACCGACGCCGGGUCGAGGGCUAGGUGCUGAGCCUCGGGGGCCUUCGCAAUCGGAUCAUCGCCAGGGAUUGGCAUGGGCAACUAUCAAUUCAUUAUUUUGGUAGUAAUCUCGACGGGCUAUAGCGCGUAGCUGGAACACCAGAUGGGAUUCACAUGAGGCUUUUUACCCUGGUCCAUGCCCUUACAGUGGACGCAAAACUCGAGAGAAGUCCAUAUUACAACCUUGAACUACCACUAAAGUCCAAAACAAAACCAUGAACUAUAAAACCGUCUAGUUUACAAGCCUCAACUUUCAAAACCGCACGAAAAACAACCCUCGAGUGGUUUUUGACGGUUUUUACUUGUUUUGACUAGUCAACAUCCAAGUCAGUGACCAGUCGUCCGCCACAUCAUCAUGUCCCAUAGAACCCCCACUCUAGAUUCUCACUCAUCUCUCCCUCCCGCACCACAUAAACAUCAUCACAAUGGUAGGGUUUGUUUGUUGUCCGUGGAACUUCCCGGAUUCCAACUAACACAUCGAUGAAACAUUCCGUGAAACACACUGCAAGCCAAAAUAAGUUCCAAUACAAUAUAGUAAGAAGUACAGUUUCGUGCUUACACCACAAUCCACAAAAGAAGGGAAAAUUCUCUGAAUUCCUCUCAUGUGGCAACGUCAUCUUUAGUGAUCAUCUCUUCCCAUGUCACUCUGAGAUCAUCUUCAGUGUCAGAUCGAUCAGCCUCUUCGUUUGCAUACACACAAUAUGGUUGGCAUGGAAUUCAUCUCUUCCCGGCAUCACUUCAACUAGAAGUUGGCGCCCCUCAUGUGCAGCCAUUUGUGUGCUUGUUUUUCCUCAAAGGGAAUACAUUCACAUUUCAUGUCAUGAUAAUUAGUGAUUCACAUAUACCAUAACAGAAAACCAAUGGACAUAAUUAGUUUUUCAGGUGAGUCUAUGUAUAGAGUUGUGACUGCCUGAGCACGAAGGCAUAGCGAAGCCCAGAAAAGCUUCUGUCUAGGGAAAGUCCCACAACCUAUCAUAUUUAUCAACCAUGGUGAAUUGAAUGACUAAACAAUUGAUGUUCAUACUCUUAUAUUCUUAUUUAGUGCAACUAAACAUCACAAACCACAAGGUUAACUGGAAUAUUAUAAUCUAGCUCUCGGUAAAACAUAAAUGGUCAUUAGCUCGUGCUAAAGUUAGGUUGUCGAUUAGCAUCAAGAAGAAUAAAAGUAAGGUAGUUUCUUUUCUGAUGAAGUCAAAUACACACUAAAAAAUAGGAAACAAAAUAUGCUUGGUUAUGCCGUUGAUAUCAUGAAACAAUGGUCAAGAAGCUCCAUGCAAAGUUGACACAUUAGGUACCAUAUAUAACGGAGCAAAAUGUGGAUAAACAUGUCCUCGCAGCACCAUUGACUAAAUCAUUUCUCUUGGAUCCUAUCUUUAUUAAUCCAGGUUAUAUAACUUGCUAAGCACCUUAUGUAUAAUGAACCAUUCAGAAAAGACAUGCCUUUAAACAAGAAAAAAAGAGGAGAGUUAAUUGUUGUCUACUUAGACUAGUGUUUCAACUUUUCCUUUAGAGUGUGUACAGCAAGAAUAAUUGGUUGCUACCAUUCCACUAUGAACCAUAUCUAUUCGUCAGAUGGUGCACUACAGGAAAACAUGGCAAUUGUCUAAAUUAUGUGGUCAAUUAUUAUUGAGGCAUGUAGAUACUGUGCUAAGUUAUGAAAGUGGGAAGAAUAGGAAAACAUACAAA
rnacentral:lncRNA from 1 species